GAUGAAGAACGUAGUGAAAUGCGAUACGUAAUGUGAAUUGCAGAAUUCAGUGAAUCAUCGAAUCUUUGAACGCAUAUUGCGCUCUUUGGUAUUCCGAAGAGCAUGCUUGUUUGAGUAUCAGUAAACACCUCAACCUCUUCUUGAUUUUUCAAAAGGAGGGUGGACUUGAGCUAUCCCAACAACCUUUACCGGUCGGCGGGCGGCUUGAAAUGCAGGUGCAGCUGGACUUUUAUCUGAGCUAAAAGCAUAUCUAUUUAGUCCUCGUCAAACAGGAUUAUUACUUUUGCUGCAGCUAACAUAAAGGAUAAUUGUCCUCUUUGCUGACUGAUGCAGGAUUUUACGACACUUUAUGUGUUGUUCAACUCGAUCUCAAAUCAAGUAAGACUACCCGCUGAACUUAAGCAUAUCAAUAAGCGGAGGA
rnacentral:misc_RNA from 1 species